rnacentral:rRNA from 1 species
UACAGAGGAUGCAAGCGUUAAUCGGAAUUACUGGGCGUAAAGCGUGCGCAGACGGUUGCGUAAGUCAGAUGUGAAAGCCCCGGGCUCAACCUGGGAAUUGCAUUCGAGACUGUGUAGCUAGGGUGCGGAAGAGGGAAGCGGAAUUUCCGGUGUAGCGGUGAAAUGCGUAGAUAUCGGAAGGAACAUCAGUGGCGAAAGCGGCUUCCUGGUCCAGCACCGACGUCAGGCACGAAAGCGUGGGGAGCAAACAGG